rnacentral:rRNA from 1 species
UACGUAGGGUGCGAGCGUUGUCCGGAAUUAUUGGGCGUAAAGAGCUUGUAGGCGGUUUGUCGCGUCUGCCGUGAAAGUCCGGGGCUCAACUCCGGAUCUGCGGUGGGUACGGGCAGACUAGAGUGAUGUAGGGGAGACUGGAAUUCCUGGUGUAGCGGUGAAAUGCGCAGAUAUCAGGAGGAACACCGGAUGGCGAAGGCAGGUCUCUGGGCAUUAACUGACGCUGAGGAGCGAAAGCAUGGGGAGCGAACAGG